rnacentral:rRNA from 1 species
GAUGAACGCUGGCGGCGUGCCUAAUACAUGCAAGUCGAGCGAAUGGAUUAAGAGCUUGCUCUUAUGAAGUUAGCGGCGGACGGGUGAGUAACACGUGGGUAACCUGCCCAUAAGACUGGGAUAACUCCGGGAAACCGGGGCUAAUACCGGAUAACAUUUUGAACCGCAUGGUUCGAAAUUGAAAGGCGGCUUCGGCUGUCACUUAUGGAUGGACCCGCGUCGCAUUAGCUAGUUGGUGAGGUAACGGCUCCCCAAGGUCACGAUGCGUAGCCGACCUGAGAGGGUGAUCGGCCACACUGGGACUGAGACACGGCCCAGACUCCUACGGGAGGCAGCAGUAGGGAAUCUUCCGCAAUGGACGAAAGUCUGACGGAGCAACGCCGCGUGAGUGAUGAAGGCUUUCGGGUCGUAAAACUCUGUUGUUAGGGAAGAACAAGUGCUAGUUGAAUAAGCUGGCACCUUGACGGUACCUAACCAGAAAGCCACGGUUAACUACGUGCCAGCAGCCGCUGUAA